AUUUCAAUGGCGGACGAGAAAAUUAAUGCGUAUUUUUCAAACKUCCCGUUGGAAUAUCGGGAUAAAAUCUAUACUAGUUAUUAACAAAGUAGUAUAGAUUAUUUUGGGAAAGUUUCAAGUCUCUCUACGAAAAAGUGUCAUUUUCGUCCAAGUUGCACUUUAACAAAUUCUCCCAAGAAACUCUUGAACUCUUCAAACAGAGAUAUCGACGGACAUCUAACCAAAAAUACGAACUUUGUCUACUGGAGAGCACGAAGAGGAAUUAUAUUUUAUUUUGUGCUAUUUUUGUAGAAUUUUCUUCAGAGUAGCAAACUACUCGAUCAGCAUUCAUAAACAUCUGACUGUUCAUGAUAGGGAAACGGAGACUGUCCCUAUUUUCAAUGUCUUUGGAAACGACGCCUGCCCUAUUUUCAAUGUCUUUGGCUUUUGGAUUUGAACUUGUAUCCAUUUCUAUGGAAUUCCAAGCCUUGAAAUUUUCUCGAGGGAUGUCGCUGAUCAAAGUGCUUUUUAAGUGCCUUUCGACUAAUUAAGCUUCUACAGCAAGACAUUGUCUUGGCAGAACAUGAAGCUGUAAGAGACGCUAGUCCAGUUAAUUCGAGGUACACUGUUAUGGUUCGUAAUAGAGGUCUAAAGAUUCUUUCUUUAGAAAAAAUGAGACAACCAAGGGUACGGAUCUGGUAGGAAAAAGGCUAAUAGAGGGCCGUACGUCCGGUAUAAAGUACCAAGUGUAUACACCUAAUUGAAGAAACGUUGUCGGGUCCAAAAAGGUCAAAUCAUAGAAGCUAAGACCGAAAGGGUACUUGGGAAGACAACAAUCUCUCCARCAUAAAUGACUAGCAUGCUGUUAAUCUUACUAGCUCUACUUGAUUUAAGGUGUAUUCUUUGACGUUGGUCUGAAAUCGCUACAAUUUGAUGAAGACAUCCCACAAGUCAUCGAUGAACACCAAGUUAAAGUUCCAUCCAUCUGCACUAUUGAGUAUAUCCAAAGAUACAAAACGUGUUGCAACUGUAACAAGCGAAUCAACCAGGUAGAUGUGAAUGUCCUCCGAUGUGAUCACUGUGGGCAUAGGAUGACAAUCUUGUAUUCCAAAUCCAAGUAUUCCAAAAGUUCUAUUCAAGGAUUGUUGGACACUACUUAUGAUWGUAACCCAUGUUUUACCUAAGCGCUAUAUUUUCAAAUGGUUUAAAAGUCUAGAUCUACAUGUAUUAUUCAUGAUUUUCAUUAAAAUUUUUCUGUUCA